AUGGCAUCGCAUCUCCACUUCUCUGCAUCUGGCUCCUCUUCAGGGGCUUCCUCGUCGGCGUCUCCGCCGCCCCCCUCUCUGCCACCCCCUCCUCCACGGCCGUCGCUGCAGUCCAUUGUCGUGGGCUCGGCGAUGGGCCCUCUCCACCCCGCUGCGAUGGUGAUGCCUCCGGGGGCUUGCGUGGAUAGGGUGUGGAGAUCCCAGGGGGAUCAGCGGGAGAAACGUCGUUCUCCGCUUUCGUCUCCGCGCGGCGGCCCACGCUCGUCCCCGAGGGCCGAGCUCCCUUCCAACCGCCCUCCGGUGUCGCGGAUGCCUCCGCGACUCUUUGGGUGCUGCUACAAUUGCGGGCAGCCGGAUCACAUCUCUCGCAAGUGCUUCAAUGAGACCCUCUGCGUCCGCUGCAACCUGCCGGGGCAUCACUCUAGGGACUGCAAGAGGCCGCGCAGCCCUCUCUACUGGUGCAGCCACUCCGGCCUCCCCCGGCGCUCCGCCUCGGUUUGGCGGCGCAUCCGGCAUCGCCUCGCCGCGGGCCCUCUGCGCCGCUAUCAGUGCGGUCUGCUUCGCCGGCCUCUGACACGGCGCUUCCUCCCCCGCCACCGGGCCCUCCUCCGGCGGGCGCCGUACGCUUGGUCCGGCCCUGGUCCCGGGUCGUCCGGGAGGGGUCCUCGAGCGGUGCGGCUGCCCAAGGAAGCGCCUCCCCCCGGGCUCUAG
rnacentral:rRNA from 1 species